ensembl:lncRNA
CCCAAAUUGACACAUGACCAAAACUGACUCUAUAUGUAGGUAGAAUUGGCAGUUAUUCACAAGGUGUGGAGUGAGUAGCUCUCCCAGAGCGUCUCCUUCCCAAAUCUUCCUAAACCAGCAGUCCACUUGUUUGAGAGGAUGUUGAACAUAAUAGUUAAGAGCUUAUAAUUUAGAGCCAGACUACCAAAGUUCGAAGUCAUGCUUCAGCUGCGUGACCCUGAGAGAACUACUUAACAGCUCCAUGCCUCAGUUUCUCCACCUGUGAAAUGGUGUAAACCAGUACCAAUCUCAUAGUAUUGUUACGGAUGUGAAGGAGUUAAUAUAUGUAAAGGGCCUGGCCUUUGGGAAAUGCUGCAUAGGUCUCCAAGUUCAGCACAGGAUUUUGAACAUGGAACUGUAAAAUUCAAAUACUUCAAGGAAAGUUAGAACACAAAGUUGUUAGUCAUUUGGAUCUUAGCAUAAAUGAAUUCCUUUCUCUGUUCUGAGAAUCUGUGGGAAUCAUGGGGACCUUGGGAACCUAGAAGUAGGCAUCAGAAGAACUGACACAGGGUAGGGAGGAAAGGGGAAGCAAACGUUUGCCUGACUCAAGCUUUUGCUUUUGAGCCAGCUCUGCCUCUUAGCGUAUCCAUUCCAGCUUCUGUGAACUUGCUAUUUUUAUGAUUAUUAGCUGAUUAUUAUUUUAUUAUUAACUCAUGCUAAUAUUAAUUCAGCACUGGUUGAAUAAUAAGAAAAUUAUAAGAAUGAGUUAAUGAUAUGCCAUUAUUAUUAAAUAAUUACAUUAUAUAUAUUAUAUCAUGAGAUAAUAUGCCAUUAUUAUUAACUCAUUAUUUCUUAUAAUUUUCUUGUUAUUCAACCAGUGCCAGCUUUUAUGAUGAUGAUUUACAGAGAUCCUUCUCACUCGUCUAGUUGUUUGGAGGUCCGUGGCUUCCCACUGACCUGGCUCCCAUCCUGGGCAUGUCCUCACCUCGGGUCAAGACAGUGUAUUUGCUGGAAGAGGUGCUCCCGAGUGGCGGUGCCGCAACCACAGUGCCAUAUCUUGCAUGGUUUUCGGUCUCACAUAUACUUUUUGUUUGUGCUUUCUUCUGCCUCUGGAGGGGAAUAUAAAUUGACCCCAAUCUCUUUCCCAAAUAUUUCAGUUUUUUUUUUCCUCAUGGUCCUUUGAUUUUUUUCAGAAGACAAAGAUGAAUGCCAAUCCAAUUUCAGUAGAAAAUACAAUUAUAACAUAAAUGACUACAUUGUUUGAGGAGUGUUCACUGGUAUCUCAGGGCCUGCCACAAGAGGAUGGGCAGAUGGAAUUCUGUUCCAAGCAGCAUUCCUUCCUGAGCUAGGUCUUGCCUUUGAGUCUCCUGCUUAUUGGACAACCAACACUUCCUUCUUGCUUGGGACUCAUCUCUGCAGGUUUCCUUAUCUGGACCCCUCCUGAUUCCUACCUCUGCUUGUCACUGUUAUAAGUUCAGUUACAGUGCUUCCAAAUUCAGUGUUGACAUCCUAGCCCACACUUCUUCAAAAUGUAAACUCAUUUGGAAAUAAGUCGGUUGCAAACACAAUUAAUUAAUUUAAGAUGAGGUCCUACUGGAGUAGGGUGAGCUCAUAUUUCAAUAUGGCUGGCAUCCUUACACAAGGGGGACAUUUGGACAUGGAGACAGACACACCGAGGACACCAUGCAGAGGCUGGGGUUAGACUCCCACCUUUCAAAGCUAGGAGAGGUGGCCUGGAACAGAAGCUUCCCGAGAGCCUUGAGGGGAAAUGUGGCCCUGCCAACACCUUGAUCUCAGGCUUCCAGCGCCAGAACUGUAAGACAAUAUGUUCUGUUUAGGCCACUGAAUCUGUGGUAAGUUGCUAUGGCAGCCCUAGCU